rnacentral:rRNA from 1 species
AGCAACGCCGCGUGAGGGACGACGGCCUUCGGGUUGUAAACCUCUUUUAGCAGGGAAGAAGCGAAAGUGACGGUACCUGCAGAAAAAGCGCCGGCUAACUACGUGCCAGCAGCCGCGGUAAUACGUAGGGCGCAAGCGUUAUCCGGAAUUAUUGGGCGUAAAGAGCUCGUAGGCGGUUUGUCGCGUCUGCUGUGAAAUCCGGAGGCUCAACCUCCGGCCUGCAGUGGGUACGGGCAGACUAGAGUGCGGUAGGGGAGAUUGGAAUUCCUGGUGUAGCGGUGGAAUGCGCAGAUAUCAGGAGGAACACCGAUGGCGAAGGCAGAUCUCUGGGCCGUAACUGACGCUGAGGAGCGAAAGGGUGGGGAGCAAACAGGCUUAGAUACCCUGGUAGUCCACCCCGUAAACGUUGGGAACUAGUUGUGGGGUCCAUUCCACGGAUUCCGUGACGCAGCUAACGCAUUAAGUUCCCCGCCUGGGGAGUACGGCCGCAAGGCUAAAACUCAAAGGAAUUGACGGGGACCCGCACAAGCGGCGGAGCAUGCGGAUUAAUUCGAUGCAACGCGAAGAACCUUACCAAGGCUUGACAUAUACGAGAACGGGCCAGAAAUGGUCAACUCUUUGGACACUCGUAAACAGGUGGUGCAUGGUUGUCGUCAGCUCGUGUCGUGAGAUGUUGGGUUAAGUCCCGCAACGAGCGCAACCCUCGUUCUAUGUUGCCAGCACGUAAUGGUGGGAACUCAUGGGAUACUGCCGGGGUCAACUCGG